rnacentral:rRNA from 1 species
UACAGAGGGUGCUAGCGUUGUUCGGAAUCAUUGGGCGUAAAGGGCGUGUAGGCGGUUUGUUAAGUCAUGUGUGAAAUCCCUCGGCUCAACCGGGGAACGACGCAUGAAACUGGCAAGCUAGAGUACCAAAGAGGGGGGUGGAAUUCCCGGGUGUAGCGGUGGAAAUGCGUAGAUAUUCGCAAGAACACCAGUGGCGAAGGCGGCUCACUGGCCCGGUACUGACGCUGAGGCACGAAAGCGUGGGGAGCAAACAGG